rnacentral:rRNA from 1 species
UACAGAGGUCUCAAGCGUUGUUCGGAUUCAUUGGGCGUAAAGGGUGCGUAGGUGGCGCCGUAAGUCAGGUGUGAAAUUUCGGAGCUUAACUCCGAAACUGCAUUUGAUACUGCGGUGCUUGAGGACUGGAGAGGAGACUGGAAUUCACGGUGUAGCAGUGAAAUGCGUAGAUAUCGUGAGGAAGACCAGUGGCGAAGGCGGGUCUCUGGACAGUUCCUGACACUGAGGAACGAAGGCCAGGGGAGCAAACGGG